AACUUAUCCAGAGUGGUGGAGGGAACUGACCCGACGAAGCCCGGCAACCUGACAAGAUUCAUAGUCAAGGUGCUCCUUUCAGCAGAACAAUUUGUUCUGAAAGAUAAGCG
rnacentral:ncRNA from 2 species